UGCUCGGCAUGACGGAGAUCCCCAAGCCGCCCGUGCUCGCGGCGCGCGGCGGCUGCUGGUUCCAGGCCGGGGCCGUGCAGC
rnacentral:tRNA from 1 species